AUUGAACGCUGGCGGCAGGCCUAACACAUGCAAGUCGAGCGAGCGGCGGACGGGUGAGUAAUGUAUGGGGACUGCCCGAUAGAGGGGGAUAACUACUGAAACGGUGGCUAAUAACGCAUCCUGACGGAUAACCCCUAUGGGAUUAGCUAGUUGGGAUGGGAAUGGCUCACCUAGGCGACGAUCCCUAGCUGGUCUGAGAGGAUGACCAGCCACACUGGGACUGAGACACGGCCCAGACUCCUACGGAGGCAGCAGUGGGGAAUAUUGCACAAUGGGCGCAAGCCUGAUGCAGCCAUGCCGCGUGUAUGAAGAAGGCCCUAGGGUUGUAAAGUACUUUCAGUCGGGAGGCGUUACCGACAGAAGAAGCACCGGCUAACUCCGUGCCAGCAGCCGCGGUAAUUC
rnacentral:rRNA from 1 species